rnacentral:rRNA from 1 species
GUUCCUUCGGGAAUGAGUAAAGCGGCAGACGGGUGAGUAAUACAUAGGUAAUCUACCUUCGAGCUUGGGAUAACCCCGCGAAAGUGGGGCUAAUACCGGAUAAGACCACGCGACUUAAGUUACGUGGUAGAAGGUGGCUUGUAUUUAUACUGGCUAUCACUUGAGGAUGAGCCUAUGGCCUAUCAGCUUGUUGGCGGGGUAAAAGCCCACCAAGGCUAUGACGGGUAGUUGGUCUGAGAGGACGACCAACCACACUGGGACUGAGACACGGCCCAGACUCCUACGGGAGGCAGCAGUGGGGAAUAUUGGGCAAUGGGCGAAAGCCUGACCCAGCGACGCCGCGUGGGUGAUGAAGGCCUUCGGGUUGUAAAGCCCUGUCAUGCGGAAAGAACAGUCUUACGGUUAAUACCCGUAGGAUUUGACGGUACCGCAGGAGGAAGCACCGGCUAACUCCGUGCCAGCAGCCGCGGUAAUACGGAGGGUGCAAGCGUUGUUCGGAAUUAUUGGGCGUAAAGGGUUCGUAGGCGGGAUUGUAAGUCAAGUGUGAAAUCCCCGAGCUUAACUCGGGACGUGCACUUGAAACUGUGAUUCUUGAGUCAUAGAGAGGGUGGUGGAAUUGUUGGUGUAGGAGUGACAUCCGUAGAGAUCAACAGGAACAUCAGAGGCGAAAGCGGCCACCUGGCUAUGUACUGACGCUGAGGCGCGAAAGUGUGGGGAGCAAACAGGAUUAGAUACCCUGGUAGUCCACACUGUAAACGGUGAACACUAGGUGUGGGAGGUGUAAUACCUUCUGUGCCGCA